rnacentral:rRNA from 1 species
AGUGAACGCUGGCGGCAGGCCUAACACAUGCAAGUCGAACGGCAGCACAGGGGAGCUUGCUCCCUGGGUGGCGAGUGGCGGACGGGUGAGGGAUACAUCGGAAUCUACCUUGUCGUGGGGGAUAACCUCGGGAAACCGGGACUAAUACCGCAUACGACCUACGGGUGAAAGCGGAGGACCGCAAGGCUUCGCGCGAUUGG